AUCCUCUUGCGGUUCAGAAGCAUAAUCAUUAGUUUUUACAUAUCAAUGGAUAUGUACCUGCUCAAACUAUAUUAUGACUCUGGCAAAUUACCCAUCUGAAA